GGGCCUGUAGCUCAGUUGGUUAGAGCCGGCCGCUCAUAACGGCUUGGUCGGGGGUUCGAGUCCCUCCGGGCCCACCA
rnacentral:tRNA from 1 species